UCCGCAAGCUCCGAUGCUGAGGCAGCCGAGAAGGCGAGCGGGGGAGUGUUGUCCCUUCUCAUCGACGUGCUGGACAAACUGCUCAUGGUUCUGAGUUCCAACAUCAUCGGGUGAUCAGCGAGCAGCCAGCACCGGCUGGCCCCGGGUGCCAGCGCGUUCCCGGGGGGGGGCAGGAUGCGUCCCCCUCCUCCCUCCGAGCAUCCCUGGCUCUGCACAAGCGUCGCUCAGCUCCCUGCCGCCGGCUCCGCUCCACUCCCGCCUCGUCCCGUGGCUUUUCCCGCGCCGCGUGCGUGCGUCGCUCCAGCCCGAAGCUCCCCAUAAAGCAA